rnacentral:rRNA from 1 species
UACAGAGGUCCCAAGCGUUGUUCGGAUUCACUGGGCGUAAAGGGUGCGUAGGCGGUCGGGUAAGUCUGACGUGAAAUCUUCAAGCUCAACUUGGAAACUGCGUCCGAUACUAUUCGGCUAGAGGAAUGGAGGGGAGACUGGAAUACUUGGUGUAGCAGUGAAAUGCGUAGAUAUUAAGUGGAACACCAGUGGCGAAGGCGAGUCUCUGGACAUUUCCUGACGCUGAGGCACGAAAGCCAGGGGAGCAAACGGG